AUGCAAUUAAAUAAGUGCGCAUGGUGGAUGCCUUGACACCAAAUGUCGACGAAGGACGUUGUAGGGUGCGAUAAGCUGCGGAGAGGUCCCAAACAACCAUUGACCCGCAGAUUUCCGAAUGAGGAAACUCUCUUGCUGAAGAAGCAAGAAUCUUUUACUGAAUACAUAGGUAACUGAAGACAACCCAGCGAAGUGAAACAUCUCAGUAGCUGGAGGAAAAUAAAUCGAAGAGAUUCCCUUAGUAGUGGCGAGCGAAAAGGGAAAAGUCCAAACCAUAUAAAUGUUGUUAUAGUGAAUUGUUGGUCUCACGAUUAACUUGGAACUAUAGCUUAAAGGGAUAGGCCGUUGUUUAUAUGGUGUUAUAAGUCGUAAAUGCUAAUUUCCUACAAAAUUAGGCGAGCGUGUAUUUUUAUAGCAGAAUGUUUCUGGAAUGAGCAACCAAAGCGGGUGAAAGUCCCUUACGCGAAAUGAAAAUAUACAUCGUGGUUUACAUACUUGAGUAGGGCGGGACUCGUGAAAUUCCGUCUGAAUUUGGGCCGACUAUGGUCUAAGACUAAAUACAUUUGGUGAUCGAUAGUGAAUUAGUACCAUGAGGGAAAGGUGAAAAGCAGCCCGGAGAGGGCAAUGAAAUAGUAUCUGAAACCGUGCGCUUACAAAGAGCCGGAGCCCGCAAGGGUGACGGUAUUCCUAUUGAAGAAUGAACCUGCGAGUGUGCUGUAUGUCGUCGCUUAAGGACUUAUGGUCCGAAGGCAUAGCGAAAGCGAGUCUUAACGGGCGAACUAAUGAUGGCAUGCACAUAACCCGAAACCGGGUGGUCAACCCAUGACCAGGUUGAACUCUGUAGAAAUACAGAGGGAGGACCGAACUCACGAGCCGUGCAACACUCGGAGAUGAGUUGUGGGUAGAAGAGAAAUUCUAAUCGAACUCGGUGAUAGCUGGUUUUCCUCGAAAUAGCUCUAGGGCUAGCCUUGUAUGUUCUUGUUGGUGGUAGAGCACUGGAUGAAAAUUGGGUCCUUCGGGAUACCGUUUUCAAUCAAACUCCGAAUGCCAACGAUAAAAAGUACAGGAGUCAGACGGUGACGGCGAAGCGCCAUCGUCAAAAGGGGAACAGCCCAGAUCGCUGGUUAAGGUCCCUAAAUCUAUGUUAAGUGUAAAAGGUGGUGUUAACUCUUUUACAACCAGGAUGUUGGCUUAGAAGCAGCCAUCAUUUAAAGAUAGCGUAAUAGCUCACUGGUCAAGAGUUUUCGCGCCGAAAAUGUAUCGGGGCUCAAACAUAGUACCGAAACCGCGAAAUGUGAUACGAAUUUAUUCGUAUUGCUUUGGUAGAGGAACGUUCCUAACGCACUGAAGCUCCAGACGCGAGUCAGAGUGGAGUGUUAGGAAGCGAGAAUGCAGGUAUAAGUAGCAAAAAUCAGGGUGGGAAUCCCUGACGCUGAAAAUCCAAGGUUUCCUGGGCAACGCGAAUCGUCCCAGGGUUAGUCGAUCCUAAGGCCAGGCCGAAAGGCGUAACCGAUGGAAGAGCUGGUUAAUAUUCCAGCACUGCGUAUAGUUUGGUUGAUAGUGCGCAUCUCUAAAGCUGAAACGUGAAUUGAAUUACACGUUGCGCAAGCAAGAGACGAAGCCUUCGGGUAGAGUCAAUAACAGUAGAUGAGGUGCCUAGAAAAGCUAUUAAUCGUUAAGCUAUAAGCAAUCGUACCGGAAACCGACACAGGUGGAUAGGUCGAGAAGACCAAGGCGAACGAGAGAACCCUUGUUAAGGAACUCUGCAAUACAACGGCCGUAACUUCGGGAUAAGGCCUACCUAAUUUAUUUAGGUUACAACAAAAGACCCACUGCGACUGUUUACCAAAAACACAGCUCCCUGCAAAAGCGUAAGCUAAAGUAUAGGGGGUGAUGCCUGGCCAGUGUCAGAACGUUAAAGGGAGAGGUGCAAGCCUUGAACUGAAGCGCUGAUGAACGCCGGCGGUAACUAUAACCGUCCUAAGGUAGUGGAUUCAAGCAAUUGAAUUUACUAGGAUUGGGACGAAUUAUAGAAAAAAGUAAACAUCGUAAAAUGAUCAAGCAGAUGAUCGAAACAUCAUAAGCCAUAAAAAGCUGCCUUGCUCACAGUAAUGUGAGAAAUAAUCCGAUCAUAGCCAUAUGCUGGAAAGUCGCAAGACCAAUCAGCAGGGAAGACUAACAAUGUGUUAGAACCCUCAGAGACUAGAUGCUAUGCUCCUGAGCAAUCAGGAUGAAGAUAGAGUCCAAUCGUGUGAGGAAUCGAAGAGCGAAAUUCCUUGUCGGGCGAGUUCCGACCUGCACGAAUGGCAUAACGAUGGUGGGACUGUCUCAACAAGGGACUCGGUGAAAUUGCAAGGGAGGUGAAGAUGCCUCCUACCCGUAACUAGACGAAAAGACCCCGUGAAGCUUUACUACAACUUGUUAUUGGUGUAAGGAUAUUUAUGUUCAGCGUAGGUGGGAGCCGCAAGGCGCCAAUGAGACACCACCCUUAAAUAUUUUUACACCUAAUUUUCUCCCAUGAAUCUGGGAAAGAAGACAGUGACUGGUGGGUAGUUUAACUGGGGCGGUUGCCUCCUAAAAUGUAACGGAGGCGUUUACAAAGGUCAGCUUAGCUCGGAUGGAAAUCGAGCUGGACGUGCAAACGCAAAAGCUGGCUUUACUGCAAGGAUUACAGUCCGAGCAGUUACGAAAGUAGAAGUUAGUGAACCGACUGCUCUUCAUAGGAAGGCAGAAGAUCAACGGAUAAAAGCUACUCCGGGGAUAACAGGCUGAUCGCGCCCAAUAGUCCACAUAGACGGCGCGGUUUGGCACCUCGAUGUCGGCUCAUCGCAUCCUGGGGCUGUAGAAGGUCCCAAGGGUUUGGCUGUUCGCCAAUUAAAGCGGUACGCGAGCUGGGUUCAGAACGUCGUGAGACAGUUCGGUCUCCUAUCUGUUACGGGCGUUGAACAUUGAGAAGACCCACUCCUAGUACGAGAGGACCGGAGCGGACGAACCUCUAGUGCACCAGUUGUCGAUCAACGGCAUCGCUGGGUAGCUAUGUUCGGAGCGGAUAAAUGCUGAAAGCAUAUAAGCGUGAAGCCGUCUUCAAGAUUAAUGUUCGUCAAGACCACUUAUAGAUUAUGAGUUUGAUAGGCUCUACGUGUAAGCAUAGUAAUAUGUUGAGCGGAGGAGUACUAAUCGGUCGAGCAUACGGCAUAA
rfam:Candidatus Magasanikbacteria bacterium RIFOXYD2_FTLL_36_9 rifoxyd2_full_scaffold_471, whole genome shotgun sequence.